GAUGAACGCUAGCGACAGGCUUAACACAUGCAAGUCGAGGGGCAGCAUAGAAGUAGCAAUACUUUGGUGGCGACCGGCGCACGGGUGAGUAACGCGUAUGCAACCUACCUAUCAGAGGGGAAUAACCCGGCGAAAGUCGGACUAAUACCGCAUAAAACAGGGGCACCGCAUGGUGAUAUUUGUUAAAGAAAUUCGCUGAUAGAUGGGCAUGCGUUCCAUUAGGUAGUUGGUGAGGUAACGGCUCACCAAGCCGACGAUGGAUAGGGGAACUGAGAGGUUGGUCCCCCACACUGGUACUGAGGCACGGACCAGACUCCUACGGGAGGCAGCAGUGAGGAAUAUUGGUCAAUGGGCGAGAGCCUGAACCAGCCAAGUCGCGUGAAGGAAGAAGGAUCUAUGGUUCGUAAACUUCUUUUGCAGGGGAAUAAAGUGCGGGACGUGUCCUGUUUUGUAUGUACCCUGAGAAUAAGGAUCGGCCAACUCCGUGCCAGCCGCCGCGGUAAUAC
rnacentral:rRNA from 1 species